UUCAUUUACAUUACAAAAGAGAUUUUGGUUUUGAGGUUGUAGUAAGCUUCCAAAGAAACUGUUUUUCAGACGUUAUUUAUUGGUUUUAAUAAUUAGCAUUAGCUUGUAUCCCUGAUCAGAACUGUCAGUGUUAGUGCCUCAAAAAGGAUCAGAACCAUGAAGUUGGAGGUACCAGAAACCUUUGAAGAUGUUGCAGUUGACUUUUCAAGUGAGGAGUGGAAGUUGUUGAGCAAAGGGGAGAAACGGCUACAUCGCGAGGUGAUGGUACAGAACUAUGAGCACAUGCUGUCAGUAGGUGAAACUUUGAAUGGCACAAGCACUGUGGAAGUACCCUUUCAGAUGUUGGAAGUUCAUUAGCCUGUGAUGAUGAUGGUGGGGAUGAGAUGGCGCAGUCAGGAAAUGCAGUGUGUGUGUGAUGGACACAGGGAGUGUGACCCUCACCUCUCCUACUCAGACUAUGGAGACAGUCUGCAUGCUUAUAUAUACCCAGAACAUAUUACCAUCUCAGAUUGUACAGGUUGGUGGUACACUGUGGCCACUCUUCACGUAAACUCGCUUAGCUCAAUACGGCAAAUGUUUAUAAAUUCAGCCCUGUGUAUAUUGUAACUUAUAAAAUCUAAUGUGAGAUCUGGAAUCUAAUGAAUGUUAUCAAUGUGAAUUAAAGUUUGUGUUGAGCAUG